rnacentral:piRNA from 1 species
UGUUUCUGUUACAGAAGUCAUUCAGGUGGAG